UACAUUAAGUUUGCUCACUCAAGGGAGUCUUGCUCAUCCCCUACGAAAGGGGGUGAGGCUUAUGUCAACAUUUCAAGCAUUAAUGCUGAUGCUUGCUUUUGGGUCGUUUAUAAUCGCCCUGUUGACGUAUAUAAAUAAAAAAUAGACCUCCCUUGAGCUUGAGAACCUGAGGGAUCGGUCUACCUAUGACACACAUCUGAGCAAGCCCUUUGAUGGGCAGCUUUUUGUACAGAGCCGGGGUGUUGGCGCACCCUGG
rnacentral:sRNA from 2 species